GACGAACGCUGGCGGCGUGCUUAACACAUGCAAGUCGAACGGUGAAGCGCCUUCCUUUUUGGUGGGUGUGGAUGAGUGGCGAACGGGUGAGUAACACGUGAGUAACCUGCCCCCUUCUUCUGGAUAACCGCAUGAAAGUGUGGCUAAUACGGGAUAUUCUGGGUCUGUCGCAUGAUGGGUCUGGGAAAGAUAUUGUUUCGGUGGGGGAUGGGCUCGCGGCCUAUCAGCUUGUUGGUGGGGUGAUGGCCUACCAAGGCGGUGACGGGUAGCCGGCCUGAGAGGGUGGACGGUCACACUGGGACUGAGACACGGGCCAGACUCCUACGGGAGGCAGCAGUGGGGAAUAGUGCACAAUGGGCGCAAGCCUGAUGCAGCGACGCCGCGUGAGGGAUGGAGGCCUGCGGGUUGUGAACCUCUUUCGCCAGUGAAGCAGGCCUGCCUCGUUUGUGGGUGGGUUGACGGUAGCUGGAGAAGAAGCGCCGGCUAACUACGUG
rnacentral:rRNA from 1 species